rnacentral:lncRNA from 1 species
UGAGGGGCGGCGCCCUUGCCGGCGUUGCCGGCGGCGGAGACGGCUUCUGCUGCGCGGCGGGCUGGAGCAUGGGGGGUAGUUGUCGGGCAACAUGAGGAGGCAGAGGCGGCCAAGGCAAUGAGGCACGGCGUCGGCUAGCCAAGGGGCGGCCGGAGCAGAGGACGUCCACUUCCCCAGUCUGCGCACUCAUCACGGCAAGGUACAGCCUGCUCGACCAGUGGACAUUGCACCUCCCCCUGCCCCCGUCCAUUACCCAUGGCGCUCCUCCCAAUCUCACAUGGCUGUGUUGCCUCUUCUGGUUGCAGGCUAAUUCGAGUUAGCAACUUGGAGUAAUCACGUUCUCUCUAAUACUGUGUGCAGACCUAUCAUGUUUUCUGAAUUUCUGCCUGCAGCCCAAGUGCUACCAUGUUCCCUGAUAAAUUUCUUACUCUGAAUUUUUAUGUGCUUCCAUGUUCUGUACAUGUACAUGUACUCUGAAAUUCAUUCUAUCUUGUGCAGUCAGUAUUGGGUGUAUACUCAUGACUUCCAAAGCGCCACUUGAUGUAAAAAAUCAUAUGCACAAUGCUGCAAGCUUGGCUAAAGGUGGAUCUUUUUGCGAUCCUAUAUAGCAUGUUGUUGGAUG